AUAUAUUUGAAUAAAGAUGGA
rnacentral:siRNA from 1 species